AAGUAAUGAUAUUUAUGGUCGUUUGGAUUUACAGGCGUUGUUUCCCGGUAUAUGGUUGACGGAGGUCUCAACUGAUUCGUACAAGGUUCCUGAGUUCCCUGAAAAUGUCAAGAGGUAGCAAUUUGGAGUGAAUGCUGGCUUGUGUUGAUUGUUUCAAGGCUCUGUUUUUUGAUUUCUGGUGCUGUUGGUAGCGCUAAUUAGUGGUAGGCCACAGUACACAUUGUGCAAUGGGAAUUUGAUGAAAGGUCAAAUCCCCUGCACUGCUUAAUGUUUAGUUGCUUUGGAACAAUGAUUUUGUUUGUUAAUUAUAAUUCAUCUUCUUUCUUCUUUUCUUAAUAAAUGUAAAUAAAGGUAAGCUGGGUGGCUGCUAUUAUAUGGAACUAGUUAUAUGGAAUAGAAUACCUGUUCUAUGA